CAGUCGAGGUUCCUUUACCACC
rnacentral:siRNA from 1 species